UACGGAGGUUCCAAGCGUUGUUCGGAAUUACUGGGCGUAAAGGGGGCGCAGGCGGCCUGGUCAGUGGAAAGUGGAAGCCCGGGGCUCAACCUCGGAAGGCCUUUCCAUACUGCCUGGCUUGAGUUCGUGAGAGGGAAGCGGAAUUCAGGGUGUAGCGGUGAAAUGCUUAGAUAUCCUGAGGAACACCGAUGGCGAAAGCAGCUUCCUGGCACGUUACUGACGCUCAUGCCCGAAAGCGUGGGGAGCGAACAGG
rnacentral:rRNA from 1 species